rnacentral:lncRNA from 1 species
UUAAUUGGAAAAAAAGAAGUUUAGUACUCAGGGCUUAAAUAAUAUAAUUCUUCGUUCACUCAAAUAUUAGAAUAGUCUCAUUUGAAAUUGUAAUCCAAUAAGAAAUCACAUAUGGACUGCACCACGAAACUCAAAAAAACCAAUUCCAAUUCGAUCUUCAUAAAUUAUAGACAGAUAUAUAUAUAUCUUCUUUUUUUUUUAAGAAUUAGGAUAAAAGAAUAGAUACACGAUACUUUAUCUUCGUCAAGAGAUAGUCUGUUUCUGAUUUAUAUAGGGAUAAUGUUGGGAUGAAAAUGUAUCCUAAGAAGAGAACCAAACCAAGAUAAGCUUCAUACGGGAGUAGAGUCGACUCCUCAUACAGAUUAAGAUGAAGGGCUCUGGAUGUGAAAUACAGAUAUUUUGAUUACAAUGAGGUACUACAGCAAUUUGAAGUUAUUACCAUAAAACUAAAAUAUAUAAAAAACAACACAUUUAAACAAUUGAGUAAUAAGAGAGACAAAUUUGA